GCAAGAGGGAGAAAAUGAUUUCUGCUACAUUUCUGAGUGCUAGGGAGAAUCAACAGCAAAAAGGGGCUAAUUUAGAAGAGGCAGUUGGAUAGAGACAGAGAGAGGAAGGUCAAGUAGUCCUAAGAACAGUCAGAAAUAGGAAGGGCCACCUUAAGUAUGUAGCCUUGGGAGGAGGCAGAGAGAGAAGCAGAGGGCCUGAAAGUUGAGGCAAUGCCAUGGAAGCCCAUGAGAACACAGUAAUACCUACUUCAUUUGGAUUGUUGUGUGAAUGAAACGAUAAAGUUGUAUUUGAAGUUGUAUCUAAAGUUGUACUCAUUGUUAAUUGCUGCGUAAAAAAUUGCCCCACAAGUUAGUGGUUGAAAAGAGGAAACAUUUAUCAUCUCACAGUCACUAAAUCCAGCCAACACUCCAGGGGGUAGGAUUACACAAGGCAUGAAUUGCACAAGGUGGAGGUCUUGGGGGCCAUCUUAGAAAAUCCUGACUACAAUUGCAUUACUAUCAUUGGGAAAAUUUGCAAAACGACUAUUUAUUAUCACUGAAUAAAUGAGGUAUUACUGUGUUCAAGCUUCAAAUCAUGUUCUAAAGAAUAAAUAAAAUGAGAUAUACCCAAUGAUGAAACUCAAGCCACCAAAUAUUAAUCCAGCAAAUUAUAUCUAAACACAUAAUAUUGGAAAUAAUUUAUAUCGGAAUAGGAGGGACCGUCAGAAGCAAAGGGCAAUGGAAACUAUUACAUUGCCUCUUUACUAUGAAGUUUGCAAAAACGGCCCUCUCGUGCAAGUGUGAUUCCACCCUACACGACUGUUCUCUCUGUUCUAUUUUUUAUUUUCUUUUAUAUUCUCCAUGCCUUUAUUUAUUAACUACAGAGUAUGUCCUAUCUCUAUGCUUCUCAAAUUUUAAUGUGCAUACAAAUCACCUGGACAUCUUAUUAAAAAUAAAAUUCUGAUACAGUAUUAUGGGGUGGGACCUGAGCUCCAUAUUGCUAACAAGUUUCCAGGAGAUGCCAGUGCUGCUGGUCUGCAGACAGUACUUUGCAGAGCAAGGUCCUAGGUAGCACAUUAGGCAUGGAGGUACAGAGAUGAAUGGUGGCGAGCACAUGUUCUCCAAAGCCAGUGACUGUGGGAGUCUUCCUCCACCACUCACUGGGCACAUGUCCUUGGGAAAACUGACCUAUUCUCUUUGAGAACCAGCUUUUCUUUCAACAAAAUAGAAAUCUUAGUCCCCAUGUUUCUGAUUUCCUGCAGUGAUUAGUGUGAUUUUUAGCCUGCACAGACCAUAGGAGGCAUGAAGCAAAAAGGACAACCCUGGGCCUCUGCUGUCAGGGGUAAGCUUUAAUGAUGUGGGGCAGGAAGUGUCCUGGCCCCCACGUCUCUGCCCAGUAGGGAGGGCUCUAUUCUCAGCUUUGACCUCAGCCAUUAAGUUCUUUGAGAUGAAGGCAUUAGAACAAAAACACCCACACCUGUCUCAUCCCCACACAGAUGCACGCUCCACCCAUAGAAUAGGAAAAAGCAUGCUGCAUUUCAACAAAGAACAACCUGCAGUGUCCGCCACAUGGACAGAGAGAAAGUAAGUCAUGCUGUGAUUAGCAUAUAUGUUGGAGGUGUAAAUUUCUGUUAAGAAACAAUUUGUAAAGGCAAUUCUAAAGUGGAAAUCAUGGGAAGUCAUGAGCAGAGAAUGAGGAUAUGCCUGAUGUUUGGGGGAAAACUUCUUGAUCUGAAACCAUUUGACACGUGUUAGCUCUGAACAG
rnacentral:lncRNA from 1 species